rnacentral:lncRNA from 1 species
GCAAGGAAAAAAUCCAACCAGAGACCAGUGCUCGUCUCCCAAGGAGAACCACCCUCCUAUCGCCAAAUGACCCUUGUCCUCACGCAGCGCAAUACAGCAUACUCCACAGACUCAUCCUCCAUCCCACAAAUAGGAUAAGAGGUCAGAAUCUCCAUACCCCUAUCCCUGAGAAGAGCUUGAGUAAGAAGUCAGUUCCAAGACAGCUUUCAGAGAAAGAUCCUUAUCCUAGGGUGGGC